UACGUAGGGUGCGAGCGUUGUCCGGAAUUAUUGGGCGUAAAGAGCUUGUAGGCGGUUUGUCGCGUCUGCUGUGAAAAUCCGGGGCUCAACCCCGGACUUGCAGUGGGUACGGGCAGACUGGAGUGUGGUAGGGGAGACUGGAAUUCCUGGUGUAGCGGUGGAAUGCGCAGAUAUCAGGAGGAACACCGAUGGCGAAGGCAGGUCUCUGGGCCACUACUGACGCUGAGAAGCGAAAGCAUGGGGAGCGAACAG
rnacentral:rRNA from 1 species